UAGCCGCCGCGGUAAUACCGGCGGCCCGAGUGGCGGCCACUAUUAUUGGGCCUAAAGCGUCCGUAGCCGGGCUGGUAAGUCCUCCGGGAAAUCUGGUCGCUUAACGAUCAGACUUCCGGAGGAUACUGCUGGCCUAGGGACCGGGAGAGGCCGAGGGUAUUCCCGGGGUAGGGGUGAAAUCCUGUAAUCCCGGGAGGACCACCUGUGGCGAAGGCGCUCGGCUGGAACGGGUCCGACGGUGAGGGACGAAGGCCAGGGGAGCGAACCGGAUUAGAUACCCGGGUAGUCCUGGCUGUAAACGAUGCGGACUAGGUGUCGGGCAAGCUAAGGGCUUGUCCGGUGCCGCAGGGAAGCCGUUAAGUCCGCCGCCUGGGGAGUACGGCCGCAAGGCUGAAACUUAAAGGAAUUGGCGGG
rnacentral:rRNA from 1 species